rnacentral:rRNA from 1 species
GACGAACGCUGGCGGCGUGCUUAACACAUGCAAGUCGAACGAAGUGGCGAACGGGUGAGUAACGCGUAAUCAACCUGCCCUUCAGAGGGGGACAACAGUUGGAAACGACUGCAAAUAACGCAUACUGAAGGAGGGGAUUGCGUCUGAUUAGCUAGUUGGAGGGGUAACGGCCCACCAAGGCGAGGAUCAGUCGCCGGUCUGUGAGGCGGAACGGCCACAUUGGGACUGGGCCACGGCCCAGACUCCUACGGGAGGCAGCAGUGGGGAAUCUUCCGGCAUGUACGGAAAGCUGACGGAGCAACGCCGGCUGAGUGAUGACGGCCUUCGGGUUGUAAAGCUCUGUUAAUCGGGACGCGGUACCGGAAUAGAAAGCCACGGCUAACUACGUGCCAGCAGCCGCGGUAAUAC